rnacentral:rRNA from 1 species
CACGUAGGGCGCAAGCGUUGUCCGGAAUUAUUGGGCGUAAAGAGCUCGUAGGCGGUCUGUUGCGUCCGCUGUGAAAUCUCGGGGCUUAACUCCGAAACUGCAUUCGAUACUGCCGUGCUUGAGGACUGGAGAGGAGACUGGAAUUUACGGUGUAGCGGUGGAAUGCGCAGAUAUCAGGAGGAACACCGGUGGCGAAGGCGGGUCUCUGGGCAGUAACUGACGCUGAGGAGCGAAAGCGUGGGGAGCGAACAGG